rnacentral:rRNA from 1 species
AACCCUAGUUAAUGGACAUACGGCGUAAAGUGUGUUUAAGGAAAUCAUAAAAAUAAAGCUAAACCCUGGCUACGCUGUAAAAAGCCCCAGCCACUGUAAACCCCCCCACGAAAGUGACUUUAUAAUACCUGAAGACACGACAGCUAAGACCCAAACUGGGAUUAGAUACCCCACUAUGCUUAGCCCUAAACCCAUAGGAUUUAAUACAACAAAAUCCUUCGCCAGAGUACUACAAGCCAUAGCUUAAAACUCAAAGGACUUGGCGGUGCUUCACAUCCACCUAGAGGAGCCUGUUCUAUAACCGACAAACCCCGAUAAACCUCACCAACCCUUGCCAACC